rnacentral:lncRNA from 1 species
AUUCACCAUUAUGUGCGACAAAAGUACCACGCCUAGUGUGUGGGAGGUGCCCCACCUCCACUUCAGGAGGUGCCCUACCUCUGCUUGCAAGUUUGCUGAAUCUCUAAGUGUUCAUGGCUCUGCUGCUACCUUGCAGCAUUUUGCUUUGCCGAUGGUCCUGCAGUGAAAGCGUCGCGACCGGUGCGUGGGGAGGUCGCUGACCUCCGCACGGUCCACCGCUAAGGAAGCCUGUGGGUUCUCCCUAAGCCCCAUCAUCUUCUUCUUCCUUUGGUCAUGGCCUUGAUUUAUAUGGUUGCUAGCUUCAUCCAUGAUUCGAUAUUUGUCUGGUUCUGACGUCUCUUCUUUGUCACUGCACUCCUUGUUUGUGGUGUCAUCAAAUCAAAUGUCGGGUGCGCUCAUUGUAGCCGACCUUCCCUCCUUUGAGGCUUCCUCCCCUUGUUGGGCAUUGGAUGGCGGUAGGUGGGGGCUCGGAUGUGCAGAGAAAGGUGCUGCCACUAACUUGAAGGGAGGUCGGUGUUUCUAGAUAAGCUUUGGUAGGUGUUCUCCUUCUGCUUUUAGUUCCC